AUUUGGUUUUGAAUAUGAGAAGUAUGUGAUGUCUAUUAGACAUCCAAAUGGAAAUGUCUAAUAAGCAAAUUGGAUAAGCAAGCCUGGAAGUCAGAGAGAAAUGUGCUGAAGUCAAAGCUAUGAGGCAGUGACGUGAGACAGGUUUGAAGAUUAAGUCCUGAGCACUCUGUGCUUAGAGGUUAAGGAGAUAAGGAGACACCAGCAAAGGAGACUGAAGAGGAGUGAGCAGUAACGGAAGAGAGAAACCAGCAGACCGUUUCCUGCAGGCUGGGAAAGAAAGCGAAACAGGAAGGAAGAAGUCCGAACCACACCAGAUGCUGCUGGCACGUCUGCACGAGGACUGAGAACUGACGAGUGGGUUUGGCGAUGAGAACGCCGGAGGGGCCUUGGCAAGCAGUUUUAGCGCAGUGAGGCGGGAAGUCUGAUCGGAGCGUGGAAGUAGAGGAACUGAAGAUGGGGAAUAGAGGCAGCUUUUCAUGGUAAUUUUAUUAUAAAGAUAAAAAGGAAGAGCUUUGGGGCAUUUGAGGAUUUAGAAGAAUUCUGCUUCAGGUUUUGCAUAAACCAUCUGACUGUAGUAACACAAACAUCAGGUUUUGCAGAAAUGGACCAUGAUCUCCUGAAGAACUUUAUCAGCAAAGCAAGCAGAGUUGGAGCCUUUAAAAAUUGAUCCCAUCUGCAGGAAAGUUUUUGAGCCUUUCCAUUUCCCCUGCAAAAGCCAGAGAUGAAUCACUUCUCUUUAAUUAAUAGUAUGUAUGAUGAGCUAUGUUUGGCUGAGUACUUGUAACUGUCAGAAGAAGGAUGGUGGUGAGUGGUCUUUGUCUGCCUAAACCCAGAGUUUAUGUAGAAAGCAUUGAAUGUUCUGAUCAGAUGUGACUAAGGUCAAGGAAAAAAAAUUGAAAUAUCUUAUUUACCAUUUCCUCUUUUUGAGUCACUUAAAUUGGACACCUUUGGUACCCUGGUCUCAGUAUAUGCUAUUCUGGCCCAAAUGUUCCAUUAUUCAGCUGGCUGAUACCACAUAGAUAGCUUGACAAGGAGUGCUGUCUGUCCUUACCACAUUUUCAGCACUCAGCACAGUGCCUUGUGUAUAAUAGGCACUCAAUUUAUUAUAAAUCUUCAGUAUGUCCUGAGAACAGCUUUAGUCAUGGAAUACUGGGAGAAGGAAUAACUUUCACAAAAUAAACUUAAAACAGCCUGUAAUUAUUGAGGUUCAUAUUCUUCUGGUAUAUCAUUCUGAGAAAUUGUGGCUAAUUUAGAACAUUGUUUAGAAUUGACAAAAGGCCCUGGCAAUUAAAUUGUCAAGGCCCAAGGGCUAAUUUUAAUUUUCUUUUUACUUGGAGUCAUUCAUUAAUUUCUCACAUGGGAUUAUGGAGUAUGAAGUAUUAUCUUUGAAUGAAAUUCCUGGGCUGAUCUGCCUUACAUAAUCACAUAAGGUCCUUUGCUUUUCUUUGUGUUAAGAGGGACUUGCCUCUGUAAAUGAAAAUGACAAUGUGCUUUUCUUGUAGUUGACUUUCAUGUCACUCACUAUAAAAUAGGUCUCUUAACCUGGCACCAGUAUAACUAUAAAGCACUAGCUGAGAAGGAACUGAUACUUACAUUUCAUGGACAGCAUUAACAAGAAUGAGAUAAAUUUGUACUUUUUAGAUCAAAACAAAUUACCUAAUUGCAAAAGAGAAACUGAAAUGGAACAUAGUCUCAGAUUCUUCUAAUGUGUAUCUCACAAUGUCAUGUAAUGUAAAGGAAACCCUUUUGGAAUUAGAAUUCUUGUUCUGAUGCUGAACUAUUUGGUAAUAAAGUGCUUAUUUGCAGAU
rnacentral:lncRNA from 1 species